GACGAACGCUGGCGGCGUGCUUAACACAUGCAAGUCGAACGGAAAGGCCCUGCUUUCGUGGUGUGCUCGAGUGGCGAACGGGUGAGUAACACGUGAGUAACCUGCCCUUGACUUUGGGAUAACUUCAGGAAACUGGGGCUAAUACCGGAUAGGAGCUCCUGCUGCAUGGUGGGGGUUGGAAAGUUUCGGCGGUUGGGGAUGGACUCGCGGCUUAUGAGCUUGUUGGUGGGGUAGUGGCUUACCAAGGCUUUGACGGGUAGCCGGCCUGGGAGGGUGACCGGCGACAAUGGGCCUGAGAGACGGCCCAGAGUGGUACGGGAGGCAGCAGUGGGGAGUAUGGCACAAUGGGCGGAAGCCUGAUGCAGCAGCGCCGCGUGCGGGAUGACGGCCUUCGGGUUGUAAACCGCUUUCGCCUGUGACGAAGCGUGAGUGACGGUAAUGGAUAAAGAAGCACCGGCUAACUACGUG
rnacentral:rRNA from 1 species